rnacentral:rRNA from 1 species
GACGAACGCUGGCGGCGUGCUUAACACAUGCAAGUCGAACGGAAAGGCCCUGCUUGCGGGGUACUCGAGUGUCGAACGGGGGAGUAACACGUGGGUGAUCUGCCCUGCUCUUCGGGAUAAGCCUGCGGAACUGGGUCUAAUACCGGAUAGGAGCCAUCUUUAGGCUGAUGGUUGGAAAGUUUGUUCGGUGUAGGAUGAGCUCGCGGCCUAUCAGCUUGUUGGUGGGGUAAUGGCCUACCAAGGCGGCGACGGGUAGCCGGCCUGAGAGGGUGGCCGGCCACAUUGGGACUGAGAUACGGCCCAGACUCCUACGGGAGGCAGCAGUGGGGAAUAUUGCACAAUGGGCGGAAGCCUGAUGCAGCGACGCCGCGUGGGGGAUGACGGCCUUCGGGUUGUAAACCCCUUUCGCUAGGGACGAAGCGUUUGUGACGGUACCGAGUUAAGAAGCACCGGCUAACUACGUG